CUACAGAGCUGGAAGGAAGAUAGAAGACAGUAACUUCUACAUCAGUGAGAUGAAGCUCUUCAUUAAGUCUGCUGGAAGAAUUCAUCCGGGAAACUAUAAGUUACUGAAUAAAAUUGCACCUUUCACGGAUACUUUGCAAAGGUUGACAGCUUACCCUGGG